UGGUGGUGAUGAGGACAAAAAAUAAACAAGUAUUUAAAUCUAUCCCGAGCUUGGUAUAGAUUUUCUCCUCGUUUAUGUUUAAAACUCAAGAUCUCACUUCUAAGCUU